CCUACGGGUGGUGCAGUGGGGAAUAUUGGACAAUGGGCGAAAGCCUGAUCCAGCCAUGCCGCGUGUGUGAAGAAGGCCUUCGGGUUGUAAAGCACUUUCAGUGGGGAAGAAAGCCUUGGGGCUAAUACCCUCGAGGAAGGACAUCACCCACAGAAGAAGCACCGGCUAACUCCGUGCCAGCAGCCGCGGUAAUACGGAGGGUGCGAGCGUUAAUCGGAAUUACUGGGCGUAAAGCGCGCGUAGGCGGUCUGAUAAGCCGGUUGUGAAAGCCCCGGGCUCAACCUGGGAACGGCAUCCGGAACUGUCAGGCUAGAGUGCAGGAGAGGAAGGUAGAAUUCCCGGUGUAGCGGUGAAAUGCGUAGAGAUCGGGAGGAAUACCAGUGGCGAAGGCGGUCUUCUGGACUGACACUGACGCUGAGGUGCGAAAGCGUGGGUAGCAAACAGGAUUAGAUACCCUUGUAGUC
rnacentral:rRNA from 1 species